rnacentral:lncRNA from 1 species
UUGUUUCUGCAUCAGGGUGGAGGCUAUUGAGCCACAUCCCUGACACAAGCAGUGAGCUGCCAAGGCCCUUGCGCCUGAGCUUGGCACUGUCUGGGCCUGGGCUGGUGCCAUGAGUAGACCCUGCACGCACUAGGCCAAUCUGGAGCACGUGGCUCACCCGAGCUCAAAGCACCGACACCCUGCACGUAUAUGGAUGCGAGUCAGGCCUCAGCGAGACCUGAACCCUGGUAGGAUUGAAGAGUGUUGGUUUCAGACCCCAGCACUUACUGUGAAUGUGGAAAUCAGCCACUGAAAGCCUCAA